rnacentral:rRNA from 1 species
GUAGGGGGCGAGCGUUGUCCGGAUUUAUUGGGCGUAAAGCGCUCGCAGGUGGUUCAUUGCGUCGUGCGUGAAAGACCCCGGCUCAACUGGGGAGGGUCGUGCGAUACGGGUGAACUGGAGGCCAGUAGGGGGAUGUGGAAUUCCGGGUGUAGUGGUGGAAUGCGUAGAGAUCCGGAGGAACACCAGCGGCGAAGGCGGCAUCCUGGACUGGUCCUGACACUCAGGAGCGAAAGCGUGGGGAGCGAUCCGGAUUAGAUACCCGGGUAGUCCACGCUGUAAACGAUGAGGACUAGAUGUUGGGGGUAUCGACCCCCUCAGUGCCGAAGCUAACGCGAUAAGUCCUCCGCCUGGGGACUACGGCCGCAAGGCUA